UACGUAGGUCCCGAGCGUUGUCCGGAUUUAUUGGGCGUAAAGCGAGCGCAGGUGGUUUAAUAAGUCUGAUGUAAAAGGCAGUGGCUCAACCAUUGUGUGCAUUGGAAACUGUUAGACUUGAGUGCAGUAGAGGAGAGUGGAAUUCCCGGUGUAGCGGUGAAAUGCGUAGAUAUAUGGAGGAACACCGGUGGCGAAAGCGGCUCUCUGGACUGUAACUGACACUGAGGCUCGAAAGCGUGGGUAGCAAACAGG
rnacentral:rRNA from 1 species